rnacentral:piRNA from 1 species
UGAAGAGUCGUUUUUCAUAGGAGACAGU